CCUACGGUGGGCAGCAGUGGGGGAUAUUGCACAAUGGGGGGAACCCUGAUGCAGCGACGCCGCGUGGGUGAAGAAGCGCCUCGGCGCGUACAGCCCUGUCAGCAGGGAAGAAAAUGACGGUACCUGACGAAGAAGCCCCGGCUAACUACGUGCCAGCAGCCGCGGUAAUACGUAGGGGGCACGCUUUAUCCGGAGUUACUGGGUGUAAAGGGGUCGCAGACGGCGAUGCACGCCAGGCGUGAAAGCCCGGGGCCCAACCCCGGGACGGCUCUGGGAACUGCGUGGCUGGAGUGCAGGAGGGGCAGGCUGAAGUCCGGGGGUAGCGGGGCAAUGCGUAGAUAUCAGGAGGAACACCGGGGGCGAAGGCGGCCUGCUGGACUGCAACUGACGUUGAGGCCCGAAAGCGUGGGGAGCAAACAGGAUUAGAUACCCGAGUAGUC
rnacentral:rRNA from 1 species